rnacentral:rRNA from 1 species
GCCUAACACAUGCAAGUCGAACGAAGUAGCAAUACUUAGUGGCAGACGGGUGAGUAACAUGUAGGUAUCUGCCCUUUGGCCUGGAAUAACACGAGGAAACUUGUGCUAAUACCGGAUAAGUCUUUACGGAGAAAGCUUUAUGCACCAUUGGAUGAGCCUGCACUUGAUUAGUUUGUUGGUGGGGUAAUGGCCUACCAAGACUGUGAUCAAUAGCUGAUUUGAGAGGAUGAUCAGCCACAUUGGGACUGAGACACGGCCCAAACUCCUACGGGAGGCAGCAGUGGGGAAUCUUGCACAAUGGAGGAAACUCUGAUGCAGCGAUGCCGCGUGAGUGAAGAAGGCCUUUGGGUUGUAAAGCUCUUUCGUCGGGGAAGAAAAUGACUGUACCCGAAUAAGAAGGUCCGGCUAACUUCGUGCCAGCAGCCGCGGUAAUACGAAGGGACCUAGCGUAGUUCGGAAUUACUGGGCUUAAAGAGUUCGUAGGUGGUUGAAAAAGUUGGUGGUGAAAUCCCAGAGCUUAACUCUGGAACUGCCAUCAAAACUUUUCAGCUAGAGUAUGAUAGAGGAAAGCAGAAUUUCUAGUGUAGAGGUGAAAUUCGUAGAUAUUAGAAAGAAUACCAAUUGCGAAGGCAGCUUUCUGGAUCAUUACUGACACUGAGGAACGAAAGCAUGGGUAGCGAAGAGGAUUAGAUACCCUCGUAGUCCAUGCCGUAAACGAUGUGUGUUAGACGUUGGAAAUUUAUUUUCAGUGUCGCAGCGAAAGCGAUAAACACACCGCCUGGGGAGUACGACC